rnacentral:pre_miRNA from 1 species
AGGGCGAGCUGCGAGUGGGAAUAUGAAGCGUCUGCUGCGGGGGAUGCAGCGUCCUCGACUUCAGGGAUCGACGCGCCGGAGGCGCCAGG